rnacentral:lncRNA from 1 species
GUUAGCUUUUAGUGACGGGUGAGAUUCGAAUCCACAACCUCCUUAUCACUCCAAUCCCUACGUUCUUCACCCUUACCACUUGAUCACCUUAUGACUUUCAAAACCGACUUAUCAUAAAUGCAAAGAACUCCACAGGAACAACCUUGCGACGGGUUGAAGAAUCAAUAAAAACAAGUGUCACUCCAAAGACAAGCACACCAUUUCUCCUCGCACAUGUCCCAUUUUGUUUCUCGCACACCCAAAAAAACUCAAUCUCUAUAGAUACCACCAUACUAUAAUUGACCCUCCUCUUCAACCUAGCCCCUAAACCUUAGCGUUGAUGGAGACACAAUUCAUGGAGUAACCAAUUGAUCCUUGAAAUUGGCCAUAGCAAAGCCAACUUUGUCCCUUGCUUAUACUUCCUUGAGACUUCCAACAUUUCUGAAUCUUUCCCUAUGUGAGUGACCCCCAAGUUUUUUCCGAGAUCCCAAAGUUUACUUACUACCAUGUCCUCAUCAGUAAAGUGACGAAGGUUAGCAUAUUUGACAUUAGAAUCAGAAAUAGAAUUACUUAUAGAAGAAUCAACCUUCUCUCUUGCCUCAACACCAUUCCCUUCAUUAGAAGCUUUGGAUUUAAUUUUCUUGUUUGGACGACCGAAUAUUUUCAUACCAUUCUUCCAUCCUUCUCGGCCUUUUGAUCGCAUGGAAAUAACAUUCAACACUAAAUUUAGAGGGAGGUUUUUCCCAAUUCAACUUGCAUUCUUUUUAGAUAACUCCAGUUUUUUCUCUUCAAAGAACCAUCCAAGAUACAUUUACAUGCUCCACGUGUAGUUUUUGAGUAAUCACCUAUUUCAAAACUACAUUUUUUACUUCUCAAACGAAUGCUCAGUUUCUUUGAUGAAGUAUAGAUGAAUGAGACUGCUCUAGGUCAAACAUAAU